ACCAACACGCUAAAAGAAUAUGACAUUUGUUAGAGGAACACGACUAUCCACAAUGGUAUGAUAUUGUUCACUUUGAGCAUAAGCUCUCAUGGCUUUGCUUUGGGCUUCCCCAAAAGGCCUCAUG